UACGGAGGAUGCGAGCGUUAUCCGGAUUUAUUGGGUUUAAAGGGUGCGUAGGCGGAUCGUUAAGUCAGUGGUCAAAUUGAGGGGCUCAACCCCUUCCCGCCAUUGAAACUGGCGAUCUUGAGUGGAAGAGAAGUAUGCGGAAUGCGUGGUGUAACGGUGAAAUGCAUAGAUAUCACGCAGAACCCCGAUUGCGAAGGCAGCAUGCCGGCUUCCUACUGACGCUGAAGCACGAAAGCGUGGGGAUCGAACAGG
rnacentral:rRNA from 1 species